rnacentral:rRNA from 1 species
AUUGAACGCUGGCGGCAGGCUUAACACAUGCAAGUCGAACGAGCGGCGGACGGGUGAGUAAUGUCUGGGAAACUGCCUGAUGGAGGGGGAUAACUACUGGAAAUGGUAGCUAAUAACGCAUACCAUCAGAUGUGCCCAGAUGGGAUUAGCUGGUAGGUGGGGUAAUGGCUCACCUAGGCGACGAUCCCUCGCUGGUCUGAGAGGAUGACCAGCCACACUGGAACUGAGACACGGUCCAGACUCCUAAGGGAGGCAGCAGUGGGGAAUAUUGCACAAUGGGCGCAAGCCUGAUGCAGCCAUGCCGCGUGUAUGAAGAAGGCCUUCGGGUUGUAAAGUACUUUCAGCGAGGAGGCGUUACCCGCAGAAGAAGCACCGGCUAACUCCGUGCCAGCAGCCGCGGUAAUAC